rnacentral:lncRNA from 1 species
UUUAGAGUCCUCAGCACUGCUAGUGAACACUACUGUCUGUGGAGGUGAUGGAUAUAUUCUUCAUGAGACCAGUCAGACACAUACAAGCUGUUGUCCUUCAUUUUUGCUGGAAGCCACCUGACCACUGCCAGGAAGAGGAAUUCAAAAUAUUCCCAGGAGCGGCUGUGACGUCAGCAGUGCAUUCCACCACUCCACAGUGGGGCUGUCGGGAAGCUCCAGCCUCCAGCAAAACCCCAGGAUGAGAUAGCAGCAGAGGCCUGCACUAAAUCACACUAAGAACUCCUUCAUGUUGUGCUUUAAAGAUGAACAGUAUCUUCAGAGACAGGGGGUGGGGAGGAAAAAAAUAGAGCUGGGUUUCUAAGCUGAAUUUACUGUUAACCUU